rnacentral:rRNA from 1 species
GAUGAACGCUGGCGGCGUGCCUAAUACAUGCAAGUCGAGCGAACAGACGAGGAGCUUGCUCCUCUGACGUUAGCGGCGGACGGGUGAGUAACACGUGGAUAACCUACCUAUAAGACUGGGAUAACUUCGGGAAACCGGAGCUAAUACCGGAUAAUAUAUCGAACCGCAUGGUUCAAUAGUGAAAGACGGUUUUGCUGUCACUUAUAGAUGGAUCCGCGCCGCAUUAGCUAGUUGGUAAGGUAACGGCUUACCAAGGUAACGAUGCGUAGCCGACCUGAGAGGGUGAUCGGCCACACUGGAACUGAGACACGGUCCAGACUCCUACGGGAGGCAGCAGUAGGGAAUCUUCCGCAAUGGGCGAAAGCCUGACGGAGCAACGCCGCGUGAGUGAUGAAGGUCUUCGGAUCGUAAAACUCUGUUAUUAGGGAAGAACAAAUGUGUAAGUAACUAUGCACGUCUUGACGGUACCUAAUCAGAAAGCCACGGCUAACUACGUG